CCCUUAGAUGUUCUGGGCCGCACGCGCGCUACACUGUCGGAUUCAGCGAGUCUUAACCUUAACCGAAAGGUUUGGGUAAUCUUUUGAAAGUCCGACGUGAUGGGGAUUGAUCAUUGCAAUUAUUGAUCAUGAACGAGGAAUUCCUAGUAAGCGCGAGUCAUCAGCUCGCGUUGAUUACGUCCCUGCCCUUUGUACACACCGCCCGUCGCUACUACCGAUUGAAUGAUCCGAUGAAUAUCAUGGAUUGAGGAUGCAAGCAGGUUCGCCUGUCUUCAUCUUCGAGAAGUGAAGUAAAUCUUAUCAUUUAGAGGAAGGAGAAGUCGUAACA
rnacentral:rRNA from 1 species